rnacentral:misc_RNA from 1 species
GUAGGUGAACCUGCGGAGGGAUCAUUACCAGAGAUGGUGGGCCCCGGGCCCCCGUCCCCAACCCUUUGUUGACCAAACCACUUUUGCCUCGGGGGCAGAGCGGCCUCCGCCGCCCCCGGUGGACCAACCAACCCUGUCUCUGUACGUCGGAGUCUUUGAUGAAUAAAUGAAAACUUUUAACAACGGAUCUCUUGGUUCUG